rnacentral:piRNA from 1 species
UGUCUGAGUGAUCCACAGACUU